AACGCAACUUGCACCCUAUUUCGGUAGAGUAUGCCUGUUUGAGAAUCUAUAGUAAAUCUUGCCCCCUCUAUAUGAAUAUAUUUAUAUAUAUUUGUGCAGAGAGUGGUAGACUUGGGGUUUCUUUACUCUUAUUUUUAAUAAUAAUGAGAAAGGAUUCCUUUAAAGAGGUAGCUGACUCUGGCAGCGUCUACUGUUUGAAUAGACCUAGUCUUUAAUAACAAGUGGGCAAAGCCGUAUAGACUCGGUCCAUAACUAUAAAGUCAUUAGUGAUAUAAUUAAUGACUUGAACAAUGGUCUCAAAUCAGGUAGGAGGACCCGCUGAACUUAA
rnacentral:misc_RNA from 1 species